ensembl:lncRNA
CCGACACAAGGGACUUCUGGGAGAAAGUGUGUUGAUGGGUCGCACCAAGUGACCAAGGAGGAGGGUGGACAUCUUUUCCCAUUCUCUGCAUCUGAGGCGUCAUCAGACCCUUUUUCCGCUGUGUCUUUUGUAUUUGCACAAUUGGAACAACGACCAAAGUCAGUGCAACACAGUCCUGCAGAGAAACAGGAACAAAAACCAGCUCGCAGACGUUGCGCAGGGUGGGAUUGUGAAACACCAGCUGAGGGAAAUCACGAGUCAGCCUCUUCUUCAACGUAUCCUUUCUGCAACACAACGAAACAGUGACAAUUAAGAGUCACAUGAGUACCAUCAAAAGCAGAGAGCGGUGGAGGUGUUUCAAGACUUUACAUCUUCAGUGUGCGAAAUGUAACCACACUUAAACACACUUAAAUGCUGAACACGCAGAUGUUGGGGUACUCACCAACCGGUCGAAGCAACCGGGAGAAGCUGGAUCAGGGUAGAGGGCCAGAACAAACCCUGGUCACGCCAAACACCAGGUUGAAUAAAGGUAAGCUAAGAGGUAUCAAGAGCAGUUAGAGAAAGUAUUUAAUAGGGUUAAAACAAAAGGCAGAAAGGCCUCGACAGCGGGGCUCCGGCGGGAGACAAUCGCGGGCAACAAUCCCUUUCUCCUCCAUGUCGUGGUUCAGUCCACUUCAGAUUGAUAGGUUGAUGUGGACGUGGAAGAACCAGAGACGUCGGAGAACCCGACGCAGUCGUUAGAGAUUAAUUAUAUUGUCUGGAGGCGCAAACAGCUUUUGGC